rnacentral:rRNA from 1 species
UUCCAGACUCCUACGGGAGGCAGCAGUGGGGAAUAUUGCACAAUGGGGGAAACCCUGAUGCAGCGACGCCGCGUGAGCGAUGAAGUAUUUCGGUAUGUAAAGCUCUCUCAGCAGGGAAGAAAAUGACGGUACCUGACUAAGAAGCCCCGGCUAACUACGUGCCAGCAGCCGCGGUAAUACGUAGGGGGCAAGCGUUAUCCGGAUUUACUGGGUGUAAAGGGAGCGUAGACGGCAAUGCAAGCCAGAUGUGAAAGCCCGGGGCUCAACCCCGGGACUGCAUUUGGAACUGUGUAGCUGGAGUGUCGGAGAGGCAGGCGGAAUUCCUAGUGUAGCGGUGAAAUGCGUAGAUAUCUGGAGGAACAUCAGUGGCGAAGGCGACUAUCUGGCACAUAACUGACGCUGAGGAGCGAAAGCGUGGGUAGCAAACAGGAUUAGAUACCCUAGUAA